ensembl:misc_RNA Metazoa_SRP Metazoan signal recognition particle RNA
GCUGGGCGUGGUGGUGCAUGCCUGUAGUCCCAGCUACCAGGGAGGCUGAGGUAGGAGAAUUGCUUGAAUCCAGGAGGUGGGGGUUGCAGUGAGCUGAAAUCAUGCCACUGUGGUCCAGCCUGGGCGACAGAGCAAGAUUCCAUCUCAA